rnacentral:tRNA from 1 species
GGUAUAGCUUUAAUUGGUCAGAGCAGGUGGCUGUUAACCACAAGGUUGGAGGUUCAAGUCCUUCUACCA